CCCAUAGCCGCCAUGAUAUUACAUCCCUGCUUCGGAUCCGGCACCUGCGUCGCAUCUCGAUGACGUAACAUAACCAAGAUGUCCGCGCAUGUGCCGGAAGAAGACUAGGCUGACAUUUCUCUAUCUAGGGCUGACCUGGGUACUUUAAUGCAGAGUGAGCCACAGACUUGGAGCAUGUGCAGGAAAUACAUCUUCAGAAGAGGUGGAGGCCAAUGCAAAGGUUGAGGGAGAAAGAUGUGGGCACAGACAGGGCCCCAAUCAGGAGGGACAGGUGUCCUGGCUCGGGCCUUGUGAGAUUCGAGUGUUAAGGGGGCCCAGGAAACCACUGAAAGGAGAAGAAGCGAAGCCACCAACAGAGCCGCCAAAUGGAGCUGAAGCCUAAGAGGAGAAAAAAGAAGCAGCUGUCGCCAAGGUGGAAGAUAAAGACUGAACCUUACCUCAAAUGGCAUUCCUGCAUUGGCUGCAAAGGGGGAGAUAUGGCUUGCACCUCUACAGAGCAAAUUAAUGUUUGGAUGUCUUUAUUCAAGAUGAUAUAACCUUGUCUUGGCCUAUGAUUGAGUGCUCCCAUUGGCAUUGCAGUUCAGCUGCACUUUGUAAUUUGCCGCACACCACUUACUUCCCCAUUGGCAUUGAACAUUUAAGGCUUUUCUUUGUGUGAUGCUUUUUCUUUAAAUUAACUUUUUUUUUUAAACUGCACCACUGUGGAUAUUCUGGUUUGUGCCAGCCUAUGCAAUUAUGGAAUAAUAACCCUAUCUUGGCCUGAAAGUGCUUUUCCAGCUAGUAUAGGUAGAACAUAGGUCACACUUGACUGUUGGCCUGGCUGCUAAUGUCCUUGUGGGAGUCCUAUGAAAAUCCAUAGAAACAUGUCAGUAUUACUCCCCUGACACAUUCACUGAAUAUGGAAGCCAAAGAGAAAGAACUACCCCUUUCCAUUCAUUAUAUUAAAGCGUGACAGUAAUUGGUCACUAACUCUUUGGGACAAUAACAAAGAUGUGUAAAUAAAAUAAUUAGAUACACAGGCUUCUGCCUAGCAACUAGUAAAGAAAAGGCAAGUAUACAGUACCUUUGCUGAUACGAAAAAUUUGCUAAUGCAUACGUUAUGUUUACAGAUA